UCCCUGUUUCAUUCCACCAAUCAGAGAAGAGACUCCCAGGUCGCUGGCCAAUCAAAGCUCCGGAGAUAUUCUGACCAACCUGCACCAGGAAAGAAAGAGGGGGGCGGUCGAGGACUGGUACGACCUGCAGCAAGAGUCACAUACGGAGGCAGCCGAGUUAGCACUCAUGCUAAUCUGCUAGUAGUAGCACUGGCAGCUGUCCAUAAUAUGAUAAUUGGCUACCACUGGAGAAACAUCUCUUCGGAGUGUUAUAAUAUUUUACAUUAUUUGUAACAUUAUAUGACAUUAUCAAUAUUGAUGCACAACAUAUGAGGAGCAUUUUAAAUGGUGGAGCUGGUGGAUCUACAGUAGAUGUACAUGUUGGGAUUUCAGUCUUUACUAUCUAAAGAGUAAAAUCUAUGGUGCAGAGCAGCUAGCUGCUGACUUCGGCUAUCUCCGUCUGUCACGUGACUGUAUGUAGCCGUCCCUCCAGAGUCUCCCGCUCAGAGAGAAGAAACUGAUUGGUGCUGGCUGCUUGGCUCCUACGAGUGAACCAAUUGAGCCCUCCUACUGCGCUGCCUGGCGGCCUUCUCGACGUAGACCUCCAGCUCCUUCCUGAGUCGCUCAUUCUCCUGCAUCAACACGUCAGUCUGAGUUGAGUUAUUGCUGGAGGCUGCGGUGAUGCUGUUGUGAGCCAACUGAGACUGGGUAGACACAUAUCUGCUGAGGGGAGACAUGAGUAAUUCAUUACAACACUGCUCAAACCACACCAUCCUGGAAAUACUGAGCGAAAGAAUAGUUAAAUAAAUGAAAUCAUAAUUC